ensembl:lncRNA
GGGAGAAGAUAUUUGCAAAUCAUAUAUCCGAUAAGAGGUUAGUAUCUAAAAUACAUAAAGAAUUCAUACAACUCAACAACAACAAAAAAAACCCAAUUAAAAAAUGAGAAGAGGAUCUGAACAGAUGUUUUUCCAAAGAAGAUAUAAAGAUGGCCAACGGGCACACGAAAAGAUGUUCAGCAUCACUAAUUGUUAGGGAAAUGCAAAUCAAAACCACAAUGAGAUAUCACCUCACACCUGCCAGAAUGGCUAUUAUUAAAAGGACAAGAAAUAACAAGUGUCAGAGAGGAUGUGGAGAAAAGUGAACCCUCUUACAUUGCUGGUGCUAAUGUAAAUUGGUGCAGCCACUAUGGAAAACAGUAUGGAGAUUCCUCAAAAAAUUAAAAAAGCAACUACCAUAUGAUCCAGCAAUUUCACUUCUGUGUAUUUAUUCAAAGAACAAGAAAACACUAAUUCAAAAACAAUCUAUGCACCCCUACAUUCAUUGCAGCAUUAUACACAAUAGCCAAGACUUGGAAACAACCUAAGUGCCUAUUGACAGAGGAAUGGAUAAAGAAGAUGUAAUAUAUAUGUAUACACACACACACGGUGGAAUACUACUCAGCUGUUAAAAAAAAAAAAAACAGACGAAAUCUUGCCAUUAGCAACAACAUAGAUGGACCUUGAGGCCAUUAUGCUAAGUGAAAUAAGUCAGAGAAAGCCAAAUACUAUAUGAUUUCACUCAUAUGUGGAAGAUAAAACAACAACAACAACAAACAAACACAUACGUACAGAAGAUAGAUUGGUGGUUACCAGAGGGGAAGGGGGGUCAGGAGGAGGGUGAAAGAGGUAAAGGGGCACAUUUGUGUGGUGACAGAUGGCAACCAGACUUUUGGUGGUGGACACAUGCAGUUGAUACAUAAGUUGAAAUAUAAUGAUGUACACUUGAAAUUUACAUAAUGUUAUAAACCAAUGUGACCUCAAUAACAAAUAAAGUUAGAAACAAAAAAAUUUGUAAACCUCUGCCAACAUUCCUAAUCCCUCUUACCUUCUUUAUUCUUUUCAUAGCACUUAUCACCUUUUAACGUGAUAAAAAUUUAUUUAUAUGUAUUGUAUUCUGCACCCCCCCACACGCACACACACAACAUGGCCAUCAGUGCAGGAAUUGUGUCUGUUUUGUUUAAUGAUGAACAAUACUUGACAUGUAGUAAGUGCUCAUUAUAUAUUUUCUGCAUGAAUGAAUGUCCAGAAUGUGCAGUCCUCGAGGGUAGGGACAGUGAUUCUCUUGUUCAUUGUUAUGUCCCUGGUGCUUAGAACAGCACCUGGCAGGGUCAGCACUGAAGAAAUAUUUGCUAAUGAAAAUGAGCACAUUUUUAAAGGUGACCUACAGCUCUCGCUUUGACUUUGGUGAAUGUCUAAUACACCUGUAUCAAAUACAUUCUGUUGCCUCGAAGAGCUCAAAGUUCUGGUUGUUAUUCAAUAAGCAUUUGGACAAGCUAAAUUAGGCCUGGUAGAAAAAGUAUGGAAGAACUAAAAGAUGUGGUGCCUUGGAAAGCAGGAGACGUCUGUUUCAUUUCCUCAAAUUUAUGGAGCCAAAAAGAGAGGUUGUAAAUAAAAUGAUUGGUUCCAGCCCACAACUUGAUGGGAAAGAUCAAGUUGUAAGAGAAAAAAGGAGAUGUCAGACAGAUAGAUAAAGUGGGACCUAAAGGGAACAGGUAUUUCGUAAUCACACUGCUUGGGAGGAGUCUCAGAAUUUAUAGCAUCUGGCUUUAGGAGAGAAAGAGAAAUACUCUGUGUUCCCUGAACCGGAUUUGAAUUCCUGUUUGCAGGAUGACAAAGCACUUCUCCCCGUCUUGAACUUCUUUCUGCAGAACCUCGGGGAGAAGUUGAGUUGAAUUAUCACCAGAGAGUGAGAACACCGGGGUUAUGUCAGGCUCUUCUCCUGGCUCUGCAGCCCUCACGUGUUUGAGAAAGUGGAGCAGCACGUUGACUAAUAGUUACUGAGCACCAUGUGCCUAGCCCACAACAACCCGAUGAGUGAAGGACUAGUAUCCUCAUUUUACUAUUUGAGACGAUGGGUUUGCAGAGGGUAAGUGAAUUGCCCAAAGUCGACAAGCUAGUGAGUGGUGGGACUGUGGUGGACACUCAGGCAGCAGGAUGGAUUCCCAGCCCCAAACACUUAAUCACUAAGUCAUAAGGAAAGAACGCCAAAGGUCACGUCAUCCAUGCAGUGGAAAGAGGGAGGCAACCUGAUUCAUCAUUCAAACUCAGACUGGAUGGGUUUUAAAUGUAGCCAGAAAUAUUAAGUGUGUGAAAACAUGUUAUGGGUAUAAUUAUGUCCUCCCAAAAUUCAUAUGGUGAAACCCCAACCCCCAGUACCUCAAAACAUGGUCUUAUUUUGAAAUAGGGUUGUUUAGAUGUAAUUAUUUAAGAUGAGGUCAUACUAGUGUAGGAUGGACCCCUAAUGCAAUAUGACGGGUGUACUUAUAAAAAAGAGAAAUUUGGAUACAGAGAAAAGGCCAUGUGAAGAUGAAAGCAGAGAUCAGUGUGAUGCAUCUGCAAGCCAAGGAAUGCGAAAGAUUGCCAGCAACCACAGGAAGCUAGGAGAGAGGUGUGGAACAGAUUUCCCUUCAUGGCCCUUACAAGGAACCAAAUCUGAGGAUCCCUUGAUUUUGGAUGUCAGCCUCCAGAGCUGUGAGACAAUAAAUUUCAGUUUAAGCUACCCAGUUUGCGGUAUUUUUUACGAAAGCCCUAGGAAACACUGUAAAAUGAGUUCUAAAUGUCCAAGUAUUUGAAUUGUGGAACUGUUAUUUUGGUCACACAACAUUCAUCCAUUCUCCUUCUGGUAACCAUCCUCCUAUUUCCAUCAGAGGACCCAUCUUCUCCUCCUUCCCUCUCGCCCUCAUUUUCAGUCUAUGUUGUCUUGGUGAAACACUUGGAUUCCAGGAAUCUAUUGUGACCCAGGCAUAAGCCACAGUGAUAGGCUCAGAGAUUGCUAUGGGACCAGUACAGUGAAAUUUUCACAGUGAGUGCUGGAACAGAGGCUUGCUUCCCUCUGCCAGGCAAGAACUUGGAUGCAUAUAUUCUGGAAUAGCUGCCUCUACAUGCAACAUGUUGAUGGCACCAAAACAGCAGACGGCAGAGCAAAAAGAAAGGAAGAGAAGCAGGAAUCUCAGAACAUUAUUUGAACCCUGAAUCCUGCCAUGCCUAAAACCAGAUCUCCCGCUGGACUUUUCAGAUGUCAGCCAAAAAAUUUCCUUUUGUGUUUAAGUCAGUUUGACACGGAUUUUCUGUCACUUGCAAUCAAAAGACUCCCAAUGAAUCAUUUAAACAGAAUGAAGGACCUGUUCCAUCCUCCAAAUGUGAGCACCACGAGCAAUAGUAGUCUUCCAGUAUUCAACUUGCUAACUGGUUGAUGGCCUGACCAUUGAUUGGGAGAGGGGCAACAUCUCUUGAUAAACCUCUAGAUGAGAAGACUUAAAAAGCACAAAUUCUCGUUGGAUAGCAAACAAAACUACAACUUCAGGGGAGACUUUUAACCUUUUCAAACAUUUUAAUUUGUUCUAAUAAAAUUGAUAGCUAUAGAAACAGUGAUGAGUGAGGCUCUCAUAAAUUGUUAAAUAUGGCCAUAUUUUUUGUAAAGUUAACUGAAAGAUAGGCUUGUGGUUACACCCUAGAAAGGAAUGGGAGAAGAAAAGCCAACUUUCAGGAUUGUAGAGUCUGCCAAAACAAUGUACUGUAAAUUAAGGGUGGGAGAAUGCAUUUGGCUCAGUUCAGAAUCCACUCACCCUUUGUAUUCAAUGAAAACUGAACUCAGACCUUUUGAUAUCUGAGUUCCAUUUACUCUUGGCAAAGUUCAGUUCUCUGAUUCAAAUUUUUGAAAAACCUUAAAGAGGCCCAGAGGGUUUCUUGGACAUCAAAUGAUUCUUGCACAAACAACAUACUGAUGAGCUGAGUGUAAAUGAAUAAGAAACAUACAAAGUGACUCUGAAACACAAAGACCCUCCCAUGCUAUAGGAAGAAAGACUCAGGGAAGCCCUAUGUUUGUCUCUUCCUUUAAGGAAUAUUCCUUUUUACCAUAUUUUAUCCUUUUCUCAAGAAGUCUUUGAAGGACCUUUGUAAAAUGUGGGAAAGGGAAGAGAGUGUAUCCAGCUGUUCCUGAUGUUGACUUCUCACAAUCCCUUCCUGAUUAUGUCUUAAAAGCUGGGCUUUGGAUAGAGGUAGCAUGGCCUAGAGGUCAAGGUCAACAAGCAAGUUCCAGGGGCCGGCCCGGUGGCGCAGCGGUUAAGUUCGCACGUUCCGCUUCUCGGCGGCCCGGGGUUCGCUGGUUCGGAUCCCGGGUGCGGACAUGGCACUGCUUGGCAGCCAUUCUGUGGUAGGCGUCCCACGUAUAAACUAGAGGAAGAUAGGCACGGAUGUUAGCUCAGAGCCAGGCUUUCUCAGCAAAAAGAGGAGGACUGGCAGUAGUUAGCUGAGGGCUAAUCUUCCUCAAAAAAAAAAAAAAAUAGACAAGUUCCAGCCCUGGCUCUAUCACUAAAUAGACACGUGACUUUAGAACCUGCAUAUCACCCUUUUCUCUGGUUUCCUAAGAAUUCAGCUUUGAUCAGCCCCUUCCAGACCUCGCAUGCAUUUGAUCAAGUCCUCAUCAGAGAACCUGAAGUUGGCAACCUCAC